AUACGUAGGUGGCAAGCGUUGUCCGGAAUUACUGGGUGUAAAGGGAGCGUAGGCGGGAGUGCAAGUUGAAUGUUAAAACUAUGGGCUUAACCCAUAUCUGCGUUCAAAACUGUAUUUCUUGAGUGAAGUAGAGGUAGGCGGAAUUCCUAGUGUAGCGGUGAAAUGCAUAGAUAUCACGCAGAACUCCGAUUGCGAAGGCAGCUUACUAAGCUACAACUGACACUGAAGCACGAAAGCGU
rnacentral:rRNA from 1 species